rnacentral:rRNA from 1 species
GGACGAUAAUGACGGUACUUUAGGAGGAAGCUCCGGCUAACUACGUGCCAGCAGCCGCGGUAAUACGUAGGGAGCGAGCGUUGUCCGGAAUUACUGGGUGUAAAGGGAGCGUAGGCGGGACUGCAAGUCAGAUGUGAAAUACCGGGGCUUAACCCCGGAGCUGCAUUUGAAACUGUGGUUCUUGAGUGAAGUAGAGGCAAGCGGAAUUCCUGGUGUAGCGGUGAAAUGCGUAGAUAUCAGGAGGAACACCGGUGGCGAAGGCGGCUUGCUGGGCUUUUACUGACGCUGAGGCUCGAAAGCGUGGGUAGCAAACAGGAUUAGAUACCCUGGUAGUCCACGCUGUAAACGAUGAUUACUAGGUGUGGGGGGACUGACCCCUUCCGUGCCGCAGUUAACACAAUAAGUAAUCCACCUGGGGAGUACGGCCGCAAGGUUGAAACUCAAAGGAAUUGACGGGGGCCCGCACAAGCAGUGGAGUAUGUGGUUUAAUUCGAAGCAACGCGAAGAACCUUACCAGGUCUUGACAUCGUGCGCAUAGCAUAGAGAUAUGUGAAAUUCCUUCGGGAACGCAUAGACAGGUGGUGCAUGGUUGUCGUCAGCUCGUGUCGUGAGAUGUUGGGUUAAGUCCCGCAACGAGCGCAACCCUUACCUUUAGUUGCUACGCAAGAGCACUCUAAAGGGACUGCCGUUGACAAAACGGAGGAAGGUGGGGAUGACGUCAAAUCAUCAUGCCCCUUAUGACCUGGGCUACACACGUACUACAAUGGCAAUCAACAAAGAGAAGCAAGACAGUGAUGUGGAGCGAAUCUCAAAAAAUUGUCCCAGUUCGCAUUGC